UACGUAGGGGGCUAGCGUUGUCCGGAAUCAUUGGGCGUAAAGAGCGUGUAGGCGGCCCGGUAAGUCCGCUGUAAAAGUCAAAGGCUCAACCUUUGAAUGUCAGUGGAUACUGCCGGGCUAGAGUCCGGAAGAGGCGAGUGGAACUCCUGGUGUAGCGGUGGAAUGCGCAGAUAUCAGGAAGAACACCAACGGCGAAGGCAGCUCGCUGGGACGGUACUGACGCUGGAGACGCGAAGGCGUGGGGAGCGAAACAGG
rnacentral:rRNA from 1 species